rnacentral:rRNA from 1 species
GGCGGCGUGCCUGAGACAUGCAAGUCGUGGGAGAAAGUCGUAGCAAUACGGCUAGUAAACCGGCGCACGGGUGAGUAACACGUGGACAACCUGCCUUAGAGUCUGGGAUAACCCGUCGAAAGACGAGCUAAUACCGGAUAAGACCACGGGAAGUUCGCUUCCUGAGGUAAAAGAUGGCCUCUGCUCCUGCAAGCUAUCACUUUGAGAGGGGUCCGCGCCCUAUCAGCUAGUUGGCGAGGUAACGGCUCACCAAGGCUAAGACGGGUAGCUGGUCUGAGAGGAUGGUCAGCCACACUGGGACUGAGACACGGCCCAGAGUCCUACGGGAUGCAGCAGUCAGGAAUAUUGCGCAAUGGAGGAAACUCUGACGCAGCGACGCCGCGUGGGUGAUGAAGGCCUUCGGGUCGUAAAGCCCUGUCGGAGGGGAAGAAAAGUUUGCUGGCUAAUAUCCAGCAGACCUUUGACGGUACCCUCAAAGGAAGCACCGGCUAACUCCGUGCCAGCAGCCGCGGUAAGACGGAGGGUGCAAGCGUUGUUCGGAUUGACUGGGCGUAAAGGGCGUGU